AGAUGUGAGGCCCAUCUGGCUGUGACAACUGUCACCCCAUUGAUUGCCAGGGUUGAUUUAGCUGAUCUGACUGGCUAGGCGGGUGUCCCCUUCCUCUCUCACUGCUUCAUGUGUGUCCCUCCCAAAGCUGCACGCUUGGAGGCUGACCUGUCUUUGCUCCAGGGUAUAUGGAGUAGCUGCUCUCCCCUGCUGGAACCUCCAAAGAAGCUCUCAAGGUAAUGUGCGUGCUCGCUGAGUCACUGCCUAGCCCCCAGGUAGUUAGUAUUUUUGAUGUGACUUAAAUGAGAUUAUCUUC
rnacentral:snRNA from 1 species